rnacentral:rRNA from 1 species
CCUACGGGAGGCAGCAGUGGGGAAUAUUGCGCAAUGGGCGAAAGCCUGACGCAGCGACGCCGCGUGAGGGAUGAAGGUCUUCGGAUCGUAAACAUCUGUCAGCAGGGAAGAACGGUCACUGUGCUAAUCAGCAGUGAAUUGACGGUACCUGCAAAGGAAGCACCGGCUAACUCCGUGCCAGCAGCCGCGGUAAUAAGGAGGGUUCGAGCGUUAAUCGGAAUUACUGGGCGUAAAGCGCUCGUAGGCGGUAUGGCAAGUCAAGGGUGAAAUCCCCGCGCUCAACGUGGGAACUGCCUUUGAAACGGGCAAACUGGAGUGUGUGAGAGGAUAGUGGAAUUCCAGGUGUAGGAGUGAACUCCGUAGAUAUCUGGAGGAACAUCAGUGGCGAAGGCGACUAUCUGGCACAUAACUGACGCUGAGGAGCGAAAGCGUGGGUAGCAAACAGGAUUAGAUACCCCAGUAGUC